rfam:Chryseobacterium indologenes NBRC 14944 DNA, contig: CIN01S06.
GUUUCAAUUUGCUGCGGGCAGAUGUAGUGAAUGUGCGUAUCAAUUCCUCCGGCAGUUACGAUAUAUCCUUUUCCACCAUGCACUUCAGUAGAGGCACCAAUAAUCAUGUUUGGAGAUACUCCGUCCAUGGUAUCAGGGUUACCAGCUUUACCGAUUCCUACGAUUUUACCGUCUUUAAUUCCGAUAUCACCUUUUACGAUUCCCCAGUGAUCGAUGAUUACUGCUCCGGUGAUACAAAGGUCAAGAACGCCUUCAUCUCUUUUGGCAGUAACAUUUUGUCCCAUCCCGUCACGAAC